rnacentral:rRNA from 1 species
UACGUAGGGGGCAAGCGUUGUCCGGAAUCAUUGGGCGUAAAGCGCGCGUAGGCGGCCCGAUAAGUCUGCUGUGAAAGUCCAGGGCUCAACCCUGGAAUGCCGGUGGAUACUGUCGGGCUAGAGUUCGGAAGAGGCAAGUGGAAUUCCUGGUGUAGCGGUGGAAUGCGCAGAUAUCAGGAGGAACACCUAUAGCGAAGGCAGCUUGCUGGGACGACACUGACGCUAAGGCGCGAAAGCGUGGGGAGCGAACAGG